AGUAACUGAUGCGUGUAAAAAUCUAGUUUCUACUAGAUGAAAAACAGGGCAUUCAUGUCUUUAUAAUCGAUUGCAUGCUUUUUAAUCUCGAGUAACUCUGAGCCUAACCGGGAGACAUAAAAACACAACGAACUUGAAUAGGAGAAGUUUGAUAUGAAGACCGGCCGACUGUCAACCAUUACUGGAGUCAGGAAGAGUCGCCUGAUGGUUGGGGACACCAAGCCAUCACACACAGGAACAUGCUGCAGAGAGCAGGGCCAGGCCAGCGCUGAGAUCCGAGGGGCAGAGCAGCCCCUCUUCUCUCAGCCUGAGAUCCAGACUCUGUCAAGAGAGAAAUUAUCUCAGUUCCCAGGGAGACAGCGAAGUUGCUAUGGAAACUCGUCACGCAGAGGGAGGCUCACCAGUGACCUCUUUCAGGAACCUGCCCAGGGUGACCUUGGGUCCCAGGGCUCGGCAGAAGCCUGGUGCUGGAGGAGGACUGCAGACAGCAGAGCAGGAGGCUCCAACCCUGGAACAGGUAGCUAGUGACACUCGCGGAGCCCCAGAGGCGGGGAUGCACUGUGUCACCCCACGCCACAUGCAGCAGGCGAGGACACACAGGGCAUCUGAAGGUGCCGAGACCUCUCAUCUAUGCUGGGGGUCACCAGGUAGUGCCUUGGCUGGGACCUCAGUCACCAGAUACCAGAUGGAGGCCACCAGGGAGCCAAGCUCACCAGAAGAUUAGGAAGGAAUCUUGGGCACAGUGCUGCAGCUGGUGGUUCCAGGGCACCAAAGACUCCCGAUUUCAUGUUCUUUUCUAAGUCAAGCCAUUGGCUGCUUUUACAGCAACUCAAUCUUGCCUGAUGUAAGCUUUUCAAAGACCACUCACGCCACUGCACAGAGAUGUGAGAUGCAGGGGAAAACUGCGUGGUGGGAGACAGCUGAUUCUGAGACAUGACACCGACAUUCAACUCUAUUAAAAGUUCAGAAAAGAUAAGGAAAGAAAAUUAUAAUUGUCUUCCACAUAGAAACCUUUGAUGACCCUUAUCUGAGCCGUUAAAGUAAUAGGAAACAAGCACUCAUAACACUGAAAGAAAAUUGGAAAUGUAUAAGAUAAAGGUGGAGAGAGUUCUGUGCGGGGGUUGAGGGUAAUUUUUAUUCAAGACAAGACUCCACUGUUAAGAGAUGGUUUGGGACAUAUCUGUGUGCUGCUCAUGACCCAGUCACAAAACACAAGUUUAUACGGCAGGGCCGAGUGGGUGAUUUGCAGGACAGAUUUCCAGACUGAGGUGCAAACAAGCUUGGACUGAGAAAAUGGGUUCGUCUUGGGAGAAGUGAGCUGCUUUACCCUCAGCAUGGCCACCCGAAUCCUGAGUCAUUCAGAAGCUAUUUAAAAGUACUCUCCUUGUGGUUAUGAAAAGACACAAAAUUACUUCAGAUUCCAUGUAAGAAAUAGCAAGUACAAAAUAAUGAAAUGUUCAUAAAAUGGCUCAAACAAAUGUACACAGAGGCACAAUGACUGAUGUUUCCUGCUCCAAACCACUGUCAAUUAUUCGUCACACAUGCUGUGUGUAAUCUUUAUGAUUAGGUGCUGUGGCUUGUGUCUAGAUGUCCCCUCAAAGCCCCAUGCAAUCUUAGGGUGUUUUGGGGAGGUGCUGGAUCCAGAGUGUGUGACUGAGUCACAGUGCAAUACUGAGAUUCAGGGUGCUGGCUGGGACCAAGGGUGGGUGAUUGCUGGAUCAGCCCAUUGGCUAGAUUGGCACUGAACCAAUCCUGGUAGACUGGAUACCGUCUAAGGGACAGAAAGAGGCCUGUCUUUCUCUCUGUCAUUGCGUUUUGCUGUCUUUCAUGGCCACGAACUGUUACCCCUCUGCACCCUACCUUGGUGUGAGCCUGUUAAGGAUUGAAAUCUCGACUACUGUGAACUAAAGAAACCUUUCCUUCUUUGAGUGUCUGGUCUUUUGUCUCAGCAGUAAGAGAAACGGGACUAAGAUACCAUGUACCUAAAGGUCUAUAGUUUUUACCUUCAAGCCACCAGGUUCGCUCAGCUGGUCCGAGAUGGCAGGUUUGGGGCUGAGCACAGACCUAGAAGGCUUUAACAUAGCACGCAGAUGGGAUCUGCACCCAGCGGAUUCCCUUUCCAGGGAGGUUGGCAGCCGGGUCAUCUUCCCUUCCCACCAAGGCCUUUUUGCUUCAUUUCUUUUCUUUUUUAACUUCUUCUGAGGACUGUUUUGCUUUCCAGUCAUGUGGCAACAGACCUCAUAUUUCUUGCCAUUUCUCUGCUGAAAUCGCUAACUAGGGGACUGGAAAGCUUUGCUUGGACUUGCGCUGACCAUGUUUUUCAAAUCUGUAAUUUCUCUUCCAAAUGGUUAUUUUGGAUCCUUCCAGGAGGAUCCACUAAGGCAAGGGAAAUGGAGUUUUCAGGAACCAAGAACCCAGCUUCCAGCGACUCCCUGUCUGUCUCCAAGGUUCGUUAACUUUUAGACUGCAAGAGACCAGGAUGGUUAAAACAAACAAACCUGACAACACGAACACGAACAACUGCAUGAGCCCCUCUCACCGGUUAGCACUGGCGUAGCUCUUACCGCUGCAGGACCUGCUCUUAUUCCAAGAAGGAAAUACAGAACAAAGACUCUAUUCACUGUGCAGCCCACGUAAUUUGGAGAUGAUCUCCUUGCAGCACGGCCUGACUUAUCCCUCUCCUUUUGCCCAUUCGGGUCCAAUUUUUCUAAUUGCCUGUGAAUAAGAAAGCCAAAGCCUUUGGGGGUUUUAUGGUGCUCAUGCAGUUACGUGAGUGCAAGUCCCUUCUAAUACAGUCCCAUUACCACCGCUGCUGCCACAGUCCAAGCCACCGCAUUGGCUAUCCUGAGACAUCCAUGUUGUGCUCUGGUUUCUUUUUGAAAAAUAAGGAGGAACGUACUUGAGAUAGCAGCCGCAUGUUAGGGGAUCCUGGGAUAUCCAGGCUUCUCCAUGAUAUUUCACGACUCCUUAAAGUGCCUCCAAAGAAUCACACUUCAAAUAUAAUCAACAAUACCAAGUGGUGGCAAAACCUAGCACCGAGCCCUUAGAGCCAUCAGAUUAAAAAUUCCUGCACGGAUCAAGAAAACCAACAACAAAUGCUGGAGAGACUGUGGGGGAAAAGGAACUCUCCUACACUGUUGGUGGGAGUGUAGACUGGUACAACGUUUGUGGAGGUCAGUCUGGAGAUUUCUCAAAAAGCUGGGAUUGGAAGUCCCAUUUGUUCCAGCUAUUCUACUUCUAGGCAUAUUCCCAGAAGAACUGAAAGCAUCAUACCACAGUGAUAUAUGUGCACCUAUAUUUAUAGCAGCACAAUUUGUAAUCGCCAGAUCUUAGAAACAACCCAGGUGUCCAUCAACUGAGGAAUGGAUAAAAAAGUUGUGGUAUUUCUAUACAAUGGAGAAUUACUCAGCUAUAAAGAAGGAUCACAUUGAGAUAUUUAUCAAUAAAUGGGUGCAGCUUGAGACUAUACUCAUAAGUAAAAUAAAUCAAUCUCGCAUGUGUGAAUACCGAAUAGUUUCCCUAAUGUAAGUAAUGAUUCAAAUAUAUAAAAGUAUGUGGUAAUCAUGAUUCCCCAUUAUGUGGCCUUGAAGCCUUAUAAAGUUUUCACUUAUUAAUUGGAAAGGCUUUAUUCUGGACUUCUUGAUAUGGAAAUAUUUGAAGCUAUAGUAUAUAAAGUUAUAUUCAAAUAUUUCAAGGAAAAAGACAAACACUAUGGUAACUACUAUUAAGUCGGGUUAUUUGGUAGUAAAGCACUAGGUUGCUGAAACAGUCAUGCUUUGACCUGUAUUGUUAUGUUGUUAUGCCUUUUUUAAAUCUCAAUCUCUCCCUUAUUCAUUAAAAAAAUUAUUUAGUUAUUUUUUAUGGGUUUUUUGAUUAAAGGGAAAAAUUUUAAAAAAUUAGCAGGAUAUAUUAUAGUAACUUUUUUUGAUUUCCUAUCAACUUGAUUAGAAGUCCUGUAAUACUCCCACUAUCUUGUUUUGACUGAUUAGACUCUGUUCUGUUUGUAUGAUAGUAUCAAGUUUGAGGGUAUAGGCAACUACUUUGAAGGCAAUAAGAUUCACUAAGAUGCCCAUUCUGGUUUGACUAUUAUCUCCUUUGGAAGUCCUAUAAUGUUUACAAUGUUUAAGUUUUAUUGGUCUUGUUCUCUACUGUUUUGUUCAACUUUAUAAUACCUAAUGAGAUAGACAAUUCUUUAUAAGGAAGCAAGAGGCAUUAUGGUAACCAUUGCUGAUAAUCUUGUACUCUGUUUUUACAUCAUGUGCUGUGUCUAUCUUUGGUUUUGACUGACAGCUUUGUUUUGCCAUAUUUGACUUUAUUCUCUUCCAAAAAAAAAGUAAUAAGAACUAAGGAGUAAUAAAACCCAAAAUGUGUAAAUUUUGUUGUAAAAAGAGAGGGAAAAAAAGUGAUCUAAAGGCUACAACUGCAAGUGUGUUUAGGGGUGUUAAAUAGCUGACCAUAUUAAUGUUUUUGGUGGGAUCAUUGAACACAACUGUUUGCAGUCUCUGUUUGAAUGUUCACUUUGUGUGCUUUGAUACUGUGACUUGAGCAACUAUCUCUAAGACGAUAAUGUGUAAUCUAUUAACUGGUGAUUUCUUACUGUUAAUUUUUUUUUUUUGUAGUUCUGUAUUACCUGUACCCUUACACUACUUUGUUUUGUUUUGUUUUUUCUCUUUUUCCUUUUAAAUAAAAUUAGAAAAUAAAAAAAUUAAAUUAAAUUUUAAAACAAUUCCUGCACUGGGUGGGGCCAGAUCUCUGCUCUGCUCUGCUGUGCUCUGCAGACUGAUUCUUCAGGGAGGUGGGAGCCAACACAAAUGUAAAACCCAGGACACAAAACAGCACAGAAGAGGAAAGGAAAAAAUUGCCAGAUAACCAAUAAACAUGCACAAGCAUCUGUUUUGAGCCACCAGUGGUUAUAUUAGCGCUCGUAAAUAAACAUAGCAAAGGGAUUGGCCUGUGGUCGUUUUCUCUCCCAACAUCCCAGUUUCUUAAACUGUUCAUUGGUUUAGGAAAUGGGAGAGAACUAUUUUCUUGGAUAAAUCUGUGUAUUUGGCAUCAACAUACACUGGAGAGCUUUUAAAAAUAUAACACUAUACAUGUGUCUUAGUUACAUUUUACUUGUCACUGAGACAAAAUACCUGAUGCCUAGGGAAAGGAUGUUGGGAAGGAAAGGUUUAUUUCUUACAGGUUUUGAAGGUUUCAGUCCAUACUCAGUUGGCUCCAAGGCUGGGUGGCAUGGCGGGGCCGCAGUUCAUGGUGGCUGCAAACAGCAAGAAACAGGCAAGACAGAGACACACCUUCUUCUGCCAUUACAUUGUAAGCUGGCUCCACCCCUAGGUGGGUGUAGCACUGGCCCCCCCCCCCCCAUCCAAGCUCUAGACAAUGAAUCAAUCACAAAUGCACAAUGCAAAUGCAUGAGGCCUGGGGGCCACCAACAUAAACCAUGACAACACGUAAGAGACUUAAAAUUAUAUAACUUAUGAAAGUAACAGGGUUCGGUGACGUCUUACAACUUUACGGAUUUUACCUGUUAUUAUCUACUCUCAUCAGUUCCUAUCUGUUCUCUUAGCGAAGUGUCAACUUCUCUGUAAGGUAAAAUAAAUGCUCACAUAUUCUGGUUUCAUACAAUUUUUAUGAACAGACAAAUUGUGUUCAGAAUGAAGUGAAAUUAAAAUAUAGUAUUCAUAAAACUGACCCAUUUUGCUCUGCUUUGAUAACUAAGGCAUUAUAAUUUAUAUAACCAUAGCUAUAAAUUCUUCGUGUAAGUGUAAAAUCGUAAUUCCGCAAGUUGCAGGUCCCUGAGACAAUGCAGUGUAUGCUUGACACAUAUUUUGGUACACUGAGUGCUACGUAAUUGUUACUCUUUUAGCUUUGGGAACAAUCUAUUGAUCGGCCCUCAGGGAACGGUCCGGUCCCUUCAUGUCAUGGGACAUGAUGUCAGGUAGCACCCAGAGCAACGCUGCUUGGGACCCUUCACAGAGCGGUAACUUACCUUUGUAUAUGGCUUCAAUUCAGCACCAAACUUAGCUAGAAGAGAAAGUGGAAUCACAUCUCCCCACUUUCUACCCCCAGGAUGACUUCAUGUGGGCAUCUAAUGCCUUCUGCACAUAUUUUAAUUUUCUUUGGUUUUGUUUUUCUAUUUAUGUUUUUAAGAAUCAUAAUUAAAUUUGCACUAAGAAAAAUAAACAUAACGAUGUGUUAAAACAGUAAUAACUUAGAUCAGGAAUGCUUCUGUUUGUGAAAAAUUCACUUUGUAAAAAGAAGUGUGGCAAAAUUUUUCUGCUACUCACAAACUCCAUGCGGACUGAUGAACACAACCGUAGUAAUCUUCCCCAAAA